AAGUCGUAACAAGGUUUCCGUAGGUGAACCUGCGGAAGGAUCAUUGGUGGGGAGGGUGAAAGAGAGUUGGAACGAUGAAAUGAUAAUUGUUUUUUAAUCUUAUCCAAUACAAUACACAACUGCUGACAAUGGAUCUCUGGGCUCUU
rnacentral:misc_RNA from 1 species